AGAGUUUGAUCCUGGCUCAGAUUGAACGCUGGCGGCAUGCCUUACACAUGCAAGUCGAACGGCAGCACGGGAGCAAUCCUGGUGGCGAGUGGCGAACGGGUGAGUAAUAUAUCGGAACGUGCCCAGUCGUGGGGGAUAACGCAGCGAAAGCUGUGCUAAUACCGCAUACGAUCUAUGGAUGAAAGCGGGGGAUCGCAAGACCUCGCGCGAUUGGAGCGGCCGAUAUCAGAUUAGCUAGUUGGUGGGGUAAAAGCCCACCAAGGCGACGAUCUGUAGCUGGUCUGAGAGGACGACCAGCCACACUGGAACUGAGACACGGUCCAGACUCCUACGGGAGGCAGCAGUGGGGAAUUUUGGACAAUGGGCGAAAGCCUGAUCCAGCAAUGCCGCGUGCAGGACGAAGGCCUUCGGGUUGUAAACUGCUUUUGUACGGAACGAAACGGUCCUUUCUAAUAAAGGGGGCUAAUGACGGUACCGUAAGAAUAAGCACCGGCUAACUACGUGCCAGCAGCCGCGGUAAUACGUAGGGUGCGAGCGUUAAUCGGAAUUACUGGGCGUAAAGCGUGCGCAGGCGGUUAUAUAAGACAGAUGUGAAAUCCCCGGGCUCAACCUGGGACCUGCAUUUGUGACUGUAUAGCUAGAGUACGGUAGAGGGGGAUGGAAUUCCGCGUGUAGCAGUGAAAUGCGUAGAUAUGCGGAGGAACACCGAUGGCGAAGGCAAUCCCCUGGACCUGUACUGACGCUCAUGCACGAAAGCGUGGGGAGCAAACAGGAUUAGAUACCCUGGUAGUCCACGCCCUAAACGAUGUCAACUGGUUGUUGGGUCUUCACUGACUCAGUAACGAAGCUAACGCGUGAAGUUGACCGCCUGGGGAGUACGGCCGCAAGGUUG
rnacentral:rRNA from 1 species